CACUGACGACCCUGGACGGUAUAUGGCUCUUAAAGGUGUUGUGAUUUCUCCAUGUGGUAUCUGUGGAGGUUUGCCACAUUGUGGAUUUACUGAAAGAAAUUGAAUACAUGAAAUUAACCACAUUUCAGGGAAAAAUUCAUUAGCGUUUACAAAGGAAGAUCCAAAAAUGAGUGGCUUUGGUGUAAGUCACCACGUGAUCAUGCUGGGAGCGCACGGUGACAUCAUCACGCUCAGCGCAGGUCUUUUGGCAGGUCUUUUUCCACUCAAGAGAGCAGCGGACUGCCUCUGCGCGAGCAAGUGGAUUAGAAAUGUGGAUACAGGUGAUCAUGAACAAACCCUGUCUCAUCCAAGAACAAUGAAUUGAGA